UACAGAGGUCUCAAGCGUUGUUUCGGAUUCAUUGGGCGUAAAGGGUGGCGUAGGCGGCGCGGUGAGUCGGAUGUGAAAUCUCGGAGCUUAACUCCGAAACUGCAUUCGAUACUGCCGUGCUUGAGGACUGGAGAGGAGACUGGAAUUUACGGUGAGCGGUGAAAUGCGUAGAUAUCGUAAGGAAGACCAGUGGCGAAGGCGGGUCUCUGGACAGUUCCUGA
rnacentral:rRNA from 1 species